UCCUCGGUAGUAUAGUCGUGAGUAUCCCCGCCUGUCACGCGGGGACCGCGUUUCGAUUCCCCGCUGGGGAG
rnacentral:tRNA from 1 species